rnacentral:tRNA from 1 species
GCCUGGGUGGCUUAGUCGGUUAAGCGUCUGACUUCAGCUCAGGUCAUGAUCUCACAGUCUGUGAGUUUGAGCCCCGCGUCGGGCU